rnacentral:misc_RNA from 1 species
UGAGGACUGGCGUCGAUUUGUGCAGGAUAUGAAGGUUAAUCUCAGGAAAGUGAAUGUCCACAAAGGGGAAGGUGUUUUUGGUUAUAGACCAUGGCACAAGAUUCGAGUAGGAGAUAUAGUGAAAGUAGAGAAGGAUCAGUUCUUUCCAGCCGAUCUGCUUCUCUUGUCAUCGUGCUAUGAGGACGGUAUAUGUUAUGUGGAAACGAUGAAUUUGGAUG